ACAAACCACCACUUUUGUGCAGGAAUGGCAUAAAAAUGCCAGUUCCGCUUGGGGAGCCUAAUCUCACAUAGAUGAGGAGAUUAACAACAGGAAUAGAACCAAUCUGAACACUCCUGGCACUGAGUCCUCUCGAAUGGAUCAAAGUCCUCAGAUGCAUGCAAAGAACCCUCCGAGAACUAUUGAAGAAAGAUGUUGCAAGAUUAACAUAUCUUCUGCUACAAAAAGGGAGCUAUGCAGGGGUUAAGAGUCAGCCGCUCGUUGCUCUGGCUAAGCCGCGAGAAAAUCACCGUGGGAAAAGAAUAAAAGGAAAAUAUAGCAGUAGAGCAUAACGCAGAUAAAAGUACAUCAGGUUGAUCAGUUGGGGUUGUCAUGCCCUGCUAAGGAAAAACGUAGUUUGGACCUUGGAACGCUGGGUCAGCGCAAGUUCAAAACGCUGCUGUGCACACACUAAGAUGUUUUCCCAAGGCACAUGCGGGUCUAUGACCUCCAGCCAGGUGAUAACCCUUGUACAAGAAAAUAACAAAGAUAGUUUAAAGUAAUCAAUAAAACGGGAGACGUGACCGGGGACACAGGAGGCUGACUUCAUCGUAGCCCAGCAGAUACUUUCUGCUUGCCAAGAAACUAAAUUAAAGUGAUGCGGCUCCGAGGAACAGGGGCUCUUGAUCCAAGAGGUCUUGAGUCCCCCAGUCCCAUC
ensembl:lncRNA